AAGAUAUAUGGAUUUUGAAAUAA
rnacentral:snRNA from 1 species